rnacentral:rRNA from 1 species
UACAGAGGUGGCAAGCGUUGUUCGGAAUUACUGGGCGUAAAGGGCGCGUAGGCGGUCUUGUAAGUUCCGUGUGAAAUCCCUCGGCUCAACUGAGGAACCGCACGGAAAACUGCUUGGCUUGAGUUCGGGAGAGGGAAGCGGAAUUCCGGGUGUAGCGGUGGAAUGCGCAGAUAUCAGGAAGAACACCGGUGGCGAAGGCGGCUCUCUGGGCCUUACCUGACGCUGAGGAGCGAAAGCGUGGGUAGCGAACAGG